CACAGAAACGCUCCCGAUUAUUUCUUCGUCGUGUUUAAUCUCCAUUAAUUCAAUCAAGCACGAUGUGGCCUUUAAUGCGUGCUUUGAUUCGAAGUCGGUGUAUCUACGAGUAUAAAUAGGCGAGCAUUCUUCCUCUUGCAACCAUCUUAUCAAUCUGUUUAAACAGCAAACACACAUUUAUUUUCUGAGAUAUGGCUAACUCCAAAAAUUUUCUUUUCGAUUUGAAGUCCGAUAAAUGUUCUUCUAGAGUUCAAGUUAGAUUGUUGCGAUUCUGGGAGGCGAGAUAUGUUAGGCCCAGUGGUGAACUCAUGUCCGUUCAUAUGUUCUUGCCUGAUUCGAAGGCAACUAUCAUGCCAGCCACUGUGAAUGCUAGCCACUUUUCCCGUUUUAUGGUGCGAGUCCAGCUCAGUCCUUCUUCAAGAAGGCUCCAGCGACUUAUGGGAUCGCGGUGAGCUUGGUGAUGAAUUUGGUCGUGGCCAUUUUUAACACAUUUCUGCUGCUAUGUUUAAGAGAAAUGAUAACAAAGCAAAGAUGAAAGGAGAGUAGUGAAGAUAUUGAGAGCUUUGUCUGGUCAUGAUAUAACCUUUCUCAGUUCUAUGAUGCAUAUGAGGAUCAUGAUAAUGUCUAUAUAGUGAUGUAGUGAUUUGUUGUUUUAGGCUAUGGGAAGGAGGAGAGCUUUUGGAUAUAAUACUUUCAAGAGGUGGGAAGUAUAAGGAGGAGGAUGCAAAGUUUGUUAUGGUACAAGAUAUUGUAAGUGAUUGCAUUUUGUCAUCUCCAAAGUGUUGUACACCGAUAUCUCAAACCCCAAGGUGAUUAAAAGACUCUUCACUUCUGCUUAUACAUUUGAUGUUUUAUCACCAUCUUAUCAAUGUUUGCUACAUAAUUUUCUGUUAACCUCAAAAGACACCUCUCAGUUUAAGGCAAUAGAUUUUGGCUUUUCAGAUUACAAUAAGAGGACAACUAACUUAUAAAGAUUGGGUUUUAGGUAAGAGACAAGUUCUUAUAGGGUCAAAAAAGGCAGCACAAAAAUUUACCUCUAACAGAAGCAGCCAUAGAAUUCUGAAAAUGAAAUCCAAUGCAACUCACGAAGAGUUAAUCAAAUUGUGAAACGUAAAAGAAUAUGCAGGUUUCAAGUAUGCUCUGGAAACUUUGGUAGAGACACCUAAUAUGACUAUUAGGGUUGCAAAAUGGUUGAUUUGUAUCUUUUUAGCUUCGCUUAUAGAAAUACACUUAAAUUAUGUUUUUACUAUUCAAUCAUGGUAGUGUAAUGCUAAGGAUUGUAAUCAACUUUGCAAAAAUCCAAAAAGCAAUCUUAAACCA